ACACUCGCUCUGCCCUGGGCUGCAGCCUUGGGGCAGGAGCUUUUGCUGUCCGCUAGAGAACUAUUCCAGGGAGCUGUGGAAGCUUCCUGGGGAAACAGGA
ensembl:snoRNA small nucleolar RNA SNORA77